rnacentral:rRNA from 1 species
UACGGAGGGUGCGAGCGUUUGUCCGGAAUCACUGGGCGUAAAGGGCGCGUAGGUGGCGCGACAAGUCAACGGUGAAAGCUCGGCGCUCAACGCCGAGUCGGCCGUCGAUACUGUUGGGCUUGAGCACUGUAGAGGCUAAUGGAAUUCCGGGUGUAGCGGUGGAAUGCGUAGAGAUCCGGAAGAACACCGGUGGCGAAGGCGGUUAGCUGGGCAGUUGCUGACACUGAGGCGCGACAGCGUGGGGAG